AGGGAAUAUUGGGCAAUGGAGGCGACUCUGACUCAGCCAUGCCGCGUGCAGGAAGAAGGCCUUCUGGGUUGUAAACUGCUUUUAUCUGGGAAGAAAACGCUCCUGCGGGGGUAACUGACGGUACCAGAUGAAUAAGCACCGGCUAACUCCGUGCCAGCAGCCGCGGUAAUACGGAGGGUGCAAGCGUUGUCCGGAUUUAUUGGGUUUAAAGGGUGCGUAGGCGGCCUGUUAAGUCAGAGGUGAAAUCCCGGGGCUCAACCCCGGAACUGCCUUUGAUACUGGCAGGCUUGAGUUCGGUAGAGGCGGGCGGAACUCAUGGUGUAGCGGUGAAAUGCAUAGAUACCAUGAAGAACUCCGAUUGCGAAGGCAGCUCGCUGUGCCGAAACUGACGCUGAGGCACGAAAGCGAGGGGAGCGAAC
rnacentral:rRNA from 1 species